UACGUAGGGCGCAAGCGUUGUCCGGAAUUAUUGGGCGUAAAGAGCUCGUAGGCGGUUUGUCGCGUCUGCUGUGAAAGCCCGGGGCCACCGGACCGUGCAGUGGGUACGGGCAGACUAGAGUGCAGUAGGGGAGACUGGAAUUCCUGGUGUAGCGGUGAAAUGCGCAGAUAUCAGGAGGAACACCGAUGGCGAAGGCAGGUCUCUGGGCUGUUACUGACGCUGAGGAGCGAAAGCAUGGGGAGCGAACAGGAUUAGAUACCCCGGUAGUCC
rnacentral:rRNA from 1 species